rnacentral:rRNA from 1 species
UACGUAGGGGGGCAAGCGUUGUCCGGAUUUAUUGGGCGUAAAGAGCGUGUAGGCGGCUUUACAGGUCCGUUGUGAAAACUCGAGGCUCAACCUCGAGACGCCGGUGGAAACCGUAAGGCUAGAGUCCGGAAGAGGAGAGUGGAAUUCCUGGUGUAGCGGUGAAAUGCGCAGAUAUCAGGAAGAACACCCGUGGCGAAGGCGGCUCUCUGGGACGGUACUGACGCUGAGACGCGAAAGCGUGGGGAGCAAACAGG